GGCUUUUAGUGUUUAUUUAAAGUCUGGCCUGCUCAAUGAUUAUUUAAAUAGCCGCAGUAUUUUAACUGUGCAAAGGUAGCAUAAUCAUUUGCCUUUUAAUUGAGGGCUUGUAUGAAUGGUGAGAUAAGGGGAAAUCUUUCUUUAUUAUAUAAUUAAUUUAAUUUUUAAGUUAAAAAGCUUAAAUAUAUGUAUGGGACGAGAAGACCCUAUAGAACUUUAGUGUAUGAAUGGUUUAUUUAUUUUGAUAAUUUUAAUUAAUUAAUUGAUUGCACUUGUGUUGGGGUGACUAUGAAAUUUAUAUAACUUUCAUUUUUAUUUACUAUAAUUAUAGUUUUACCGAUCCAUAAUUUUUGAUUAUUAGAUUAAGUUACCUUAGGGAUAACAGCGUAAUUUUAUUGGAGAGUUCAUAUUGAUAAUAAAGUUUGCGACCUCGAUGUUGGAUUAAAAUUAGUUUAUAGUGCAGAAAUUAUAUUUCUGGGUCUGUUCGACCUUUAAUUUUUUACA
rnacentral:rRNA from 1 species